UACAGAGACUGCAAGCGUUAUUCGGAUUCACUGGCGUAAAGGGUGCGCAGGUGGCCGUGUGUGUGAGGCGUGAAAGCCCGGGGCUUAACCCCGGAAUUGCACCUCAAACUACAUGGCUAGAGCAUUGGAGAGGGUAGCGGAAUUCACGGUGUAGCAGUGAAAUGCGUAGAUAUCGAUGAGGAACACCAGAGGCGAAGGCGGCUACCUGGACAAUUGCU
rnacentral:rRNA from 1 species